rnacentral:rRNA from 1 species
UAGGGAAUUUUCGGCAAUGGGGGAAACCCUGACCGAGCAACGCCGCGUGAAGGAAGAAGUAAUUCGUUAUGUAAACUUCUGUCAUAGAGGAAGAACGGUGGAUAUAGGGAAUGAUAUCCAAGUGACGGUACUCUAUAAGAAAGCCACGGCUAACUACGUGCCAGCAGCCGCGGUAAUACGUAGGUGGCGAGCGUUAUCCGGAAUUAUUGGGCGUAAAGAGGGAGCAGGCGGCACUAAGGGUCUGUGGUGAAAGAUCGAAGCUUAACUUCGGUAAGCCAUGGAAACCGUAGAGCUAGAGUGUGUGAGAGGAUCGUGGAAUUCCAUGUGUAGCGGUGAAAUGCGUAGAUAUAUGGAGGAACACCAGUGGCGAAGGCGACGAUCUGGCGCAUAACUGACGCUC